rnacentral:rRNA from 1 species
AUGAACGCUGGCGGCGUGCUUAACACAUGCAAGUCGAACGAACCUUCGGGUUAGUGGCGGACGGGUGAGUAACGCGUGGGAAUCUGCCCUCAGGAGGGGGAUAACGGCCGGAAACGGCCGCUAAUACCCCAUAUGCCGAGAGGUGAAAUGAAUUUCGCCUGAGGAUGAGCCCGCGUCUGAUUAGCUAGUUGGUGGGGUAAUGGCCCACCAAGGCGACGAUCAGUAGCUGGUCUGAGAGGAUGAUCAGCCACACUGGGACUGAGACACGGCCCAGACUCCUACGGGAGGCAGCAGUGGGGAAUUUUCCGCAAUGGGCGAAAGCCUGACGGAGCAACGCCGCGUGAGGGAUGAAGGCCUCUGGGCUGUAAACCUCUUUUCUCAAGGAAGAAGACAUGACGGUACUUGAGGAAUAAGCCACGGCUAAUUCCGUGCCAGCAGCCGCGGUAAUACGGGAGUGGCAAGCGUUAUCCGGAAUUAUUGGGCGUAAAGCGUCCGCAGGCGGCCUUGUAAGUCUGUCGUUAAAGCGUGGAGCUUAACUCCAUUUAAGCGAUGGAAACUACAAGGCUUGAGUGUGGUAGGGGCAGAGGGAAUUCCCGGUGUAGCGGUGAAAUGCGUAGAUAUCGGGAAGAACACCAGUGGCGAAGGCGCUCUGCUGGGCCAUAACUGACGCUCAUGGACGAAAGCCAGGGGAGCGAAAGGGAUUAGAUACCCCUGUAGUCCUGGCCGUAAACGAUGAACACUAGGUGUCGGGGGAAUCGACCCCCUCGGUGUCGUAGCUAACGCGUUAAGUGUUCCGCCUGGGGAGUACGCACGCAAGUGUGAAACUCAAAGGAAUUGACGGGGGCCCGCACAAGCGGUGGAGUAUGUGGUUUAAUUCGAUGCAACGCGAAGAACCUUACCAGGGUUUGACAUCCUGCGAAUCCCUUGGAAACGAGGGAGUGCCUUCGGGAGCGCAGAGACAGGUGGUGCAUGGCUGUCGUCAGCUCGUGUCGUGAGAUGUUGGGUUAAGUCCCGCAACGAGCGCAACCCACGUCUUUAGUUGCCAGCAUUCAGUUGGGCACUCUAGAGAGACCGCCGGUGAUAAACCGGAGGAAGGUGUGGAUGACGUCAAGUCAUCAUGCCCCUUACAUCCUGGGCUACACACGUACUACAAUGCUACGGACAAAGGGUUGCAAGCUCGCGAGAGUUAGCUAAUCCCAUAAACCGUGGCUCAGUUCAGAUCGUAGGCUGCAACUCGCCUACGUGAAGGAGGAAUCGCUAGUAAUCGCAGGUCAGCAUACUGCGGUGAAUACGUUCCCGGGCCUUGUACACACCGCCCGUCACACCAUGGAAGUUGGCCAUGCCCGAAGUCGUUACUCCAACCCUUGUGGAGGAGGACGCCGAAGGUGGGGCUGAUGACUGGGGUGAAGUCGUAACAAGGUAGCCGUACCGGAAGGUGCGGCUGGAUCACCUCCU